UGACCUCGGAUCAGGUAGGAAUACCCGCUGAACUUAAGCAUAUCAAUAAGCGGAGGAAAAGAAACCAACAGGGAUUGCCCCAGUAACGGCGAGUGAAGCGGCAACAGCUCAAAUUUGAAAUCUGGCCCUUUUGGGUCCGAGUUGUAAUUUGUAGAGGAUGCUUUUGGCAAGGUGCCGCCCGAGUUCCCUGGAACGGGACGCCACAGAGGGUGAGAGCCCCGUCUGGCUGGCCACCGAGCCUCUGUAAAGCUCCUUCGACGAGUCGAGUAGUUUGGGAAUGCUGCUCAAAAUGGGAGGUAUAUGUCUUCUAAAGCUAAAUAUUGGCCAGAGACCGAUAGCGCACAAGUAGAGUGAUCGAAAGAUGAAAAGCACCUUGAAAAGAGGGUUAAAUAGUACGUGAAAUUGUUGAAAGGGAAGCGCUUGUGACCAGACUUGGGCGCGGCGGAUCAUCCGGGGUUCUCCCCGGUGCACUUCGCCGUGUCCAGG
rnacentral:rRNA from 1 species